GGGCUGCGGCGCACAGGGACAGGCGGGCCCGUCAGCCGGUGGGGAGGCCGGGGCCCCCUCACCCCGCAGAGCCGCCGCCUGUGCCCAGGGAGCCGAUGGGGCGCCCGGGCCCCCCGCCGGCCCAGCGGUCCCGGCCCUGUGGCUGGGCCACCCGCUCACGUCUGCCAGCUUUCUUUGUGUAAAUGGAGAGACUUCCUGCUAUUCAAUUCCAGAAGGACACGCUCGCCUGGCCUGCUUCCUGCUUCCCGUGAGGGAAUGUGGGCUGCACACGGGGCACCUCCAUCAGCCAGUCCCGGGCCGGCCUCCACGCCCGGACUGCCGGAGGAAGGGAAGGCCGGCAGAGGCUGGGGGCUCCACGUCCCCUUGGGUUUGGCUGCCCGUCUGGCUUCCCUGGCUGGGGACACGGGGCCGGGCCACUGAGGCUCCCAGGGAAGGCAGGGACCUCCCCACUGAACCCUGGCCAAGAUUCUCAGAGGAGGAAGAGCCAUGGGUGCCUGCCUCUGCCUGAGUCACGGAAGAUGAGGAUCUGGGGGAGCCUGGGUGGGGAAACCGUCCCCUCCCCCCCGCCUUGGCCUAGAACCCCCCAGUAAAGAUCCUGUAAGAGCCACUGCUCCCCACCCAGCCCACGGGCUUCCUCCUGGUCCCGGCCACUCUGGGGAAAAUCCCCUCCCGGGCAGCCAUGGGUGAGUCAGAGGUCAUGGAGGCCGAGGCAGGCGGAGCCAGGGAGUGGGGCGCAAGGUGCCUGCUUUGUGCUUAGAGAAGGCCUAGCGUAGCGCCUGGCACACAGCGCAUUCGAGUAAUCAAAAAAACACUGUUUCCCUUGGUAUUAAAUAGGAAACGAAGGCCUAGCAGCCCAGCAUGAGAAGACUUGGGUCCUGGAGGCUGGGAGGACAGGAGAACCAGCUGGAGUCCGUGGGGCCACCACACGGGCGAGAAUCCCGAGAAUCCACAAGGGGAAGCAGAGAGCGAGGCUCUGCAGAGGUGAGCGGCAGGAGGGCCCGAGCCACCCCCUCGGCCAGGGCAGCUCCUCGCUUCCGACAGGCCCAGAGCCCAGCGACACGGUCCAGUGGCCAGGCAGGCAGGGGACAGCCACUGUGACCCUGGCCACACAGCCUGGGCACUGACAGCCAGCCUCGACUCCACCCCAGCCCCUUCCUCGCUCCGCAGAGCCAGCGGCAGGAGGUUCUCUGGCUCUCCCUGUCAGCACAGCCCUAGCAGGCCCGUUAUCAUCCCCCAGCUCCGGCCGUCCUCCUUCCAGCCACCUGCUCGGGGGUCCCGCCUCCACCCACCAGCCCACCCUCCGAUCCUCUACUCAAUAGCAGACAACUUUAAAAACGGAAACGUGAUCUGUGACCCACACGCCUGAACCUUCUGUGGCUCCCGUGGCCUUCAAGACGGAGCUGAAUGCGCUUCGCCCCAGCUCACGGGCUCUGCACCCUCCGGCCCCGCUGCUCCUUCCUCCUCCACGAAGUCCUGCCACGGGCGCUUAGGCCUCACGACGCCCAGACACACCGGCCCUCUGUCUCACCAACCCACCGUAGCCUGCAGACCGUAGCUCAGGGCGUGCCUGGAGGUGGAGCCUCCCCUUCAGCUACCCCUGGGACCUGGCCCUGGGGAAGGACGGCAUGGCCGGAGGCCGUGGGGAGAGAAGUGACCACGGCGCAGACCUACCAUGCUAUCCUCCUCGUCCCGCGGUGAGUAGGCGAGGGUGCUAGAAGAAGACGGUGUCCUGCGGUGCUGUUUGUACGUGCUGGUCCCAUCGGCUGCCAAGAAGAGAGGGUGGGGCUGCCACGAGUGUGAUCCGGAGGGGCAUGGCUGGCCCCCCGUGGCGGGAAGUGGGCUCCCUGGAGGGACGGGCCCGGUGGGGGCAGGGGCUGGGCCAGACAGGGGGCUAAUCCCCUCCGGGAAGUCUCCUUGCCCCCCACCCUCUCCCGUGUCCUCCUUCUUGAUCUGAGGGCCACUUGGCUGGGGCUGGGCUCGUGGGCAGCUGGGAGCCACCCUGCCCCUGUCAGGGGCCUGAGCCCCCAGCAAGCCCCGCACUGGCCCUGCAUCCUCAGCCCCCUCCAGGGCCAGGCAGGUGGGGAGGGCGGGCACAGCCUGGGGCCAGCCCGGCUCAGGUGGUCUCCAGGGCCUAUCCUCUGUGCCUGGAGCUCCGGAGCCCCCGACAGUCACACUCCCAAGGCAGGCUGAAGGUGGGGUGGAGGGAUCAUCUCUCUGACUCUACAAGGUGCCAGCGGUCUGACCCUGGGGCUGCCCUGUGCCCAGCUGAGGCAAGAGCCCAACAUCUGAGUGAUUAAUCUGGAGGUUGCCUGGCACGAGGUGGGAUGUCAUCUUACUUGGCCCUCGAGGUAACCCUACCAGUGGGCGGGUCCUCUGAUGUCCUCAGUGCCCAGAGGAGGAGACAGGGACAGAGGCCUGAGGCCCCCGGGCCGGUGUGUGGUGGGGACUGACAGGCAGCCCGCUGUUUGGGUCUGCUUGUCUCCCAGCUGUUCCCCUGGCCAGAACCUGGAACCACCCUCGGGCCUUCUCAGCCCACUCCAGGGAAGGCGUUGGUCAGGAGUCCAUGGGGAAGCCGGAAACCCUGGAGUGGCCACCACCGGCCUCAGGCCCACCCAAACCCAGACAUCACAACCAGCCCCAAAGGCAUGGUUUCAUGAGUCGGGCUUUAAGCAGCUCCCCUGUCACUGGGUCUCAGUUUCCCUAUCUGUGAGAGGGGUCAGGUGAGGUGACUGUUCAUACCCAGUCCUGACCCAUCCCUGCCACCGAUGGGGCUGCUGGGUAGGGCGAGAGGGAGACAGACUCCCAUCACUGUCUGCUCCAGGAGCGCGGGACUGCCGUGACGGGGGCCCCUGCAGCUUCUAAGAGCAAAUGAGGUGUUGAGGAACAGUGACCUGGGUGCUUGUAUUGGGGAGACGUUUAUUUAUUCUCAGGACAGAACAUCUAAGAAGGAAAAGGGGCACUUUUGGAGCAUCUGACUGAGCCACCCUGGGGCAGAGGGGCCAGCGUGAGCACGUGCGCACAGUGGUCCUGUGGCCUCACUGCUGAGUGCUUCGAGAGGGAACCCCGGAAAAGCAAUUAAAAAUCGGCUUCACCUACGAGGAGCAGAGUACCAAAAAGGCAAAGGAACAAAGUCCAUCCCUGAACCCCCAGCCCUGACAAGAGAGGCAACACACCCUCAUGACUCAGGGAAGGAGGUAGUGCCCCGGGCUGUUAGCCCCUCACAACCUCCUCGAACACACGGCCCCGGGCUGGAACCGGUCUGGAGAAAGGACACCGCGAGUACUUCUUACCACCCACACGUGUCCAGCGUGGCCCCCAGUCCCGACCUCCCGGAGGCUGCUAGGAGCCCAGGGCGGGGAUGAACCAGAGGACGCUAGGACGAGGGACAGGAAAGGACGUGCCCGCAGACCCCAGUGGGAGUAAGGGACGCCCAGAUUCUGCCCAGCCCGCCCUGGCCUGGGCUCACAGGCUGGCUCACCUUUUGUGAUGGUGGUGACGGCCGAAAAGGCAGGCCCGAAGGUCGUUUCCAUUCUGGUCUGGACAGAGAACAGAUGAGACUUGGCAUCGACCCCCAGCGAGGAUGUGUACACACACGUGGACGGGCACCGACGCGCCUUCAUAGCACCAUGGUCACGUGCGCGCGUGAGCUCACGCGGACACACGCGGCACAGGCCCUCCACGUAGGGAGGGGACUGCUCUGGAGGCUCUGCGGGGACCCCGGCACACGAGGUAGGACAGUCCCGGUCUGCAGGAUGGAAGGACGCUGGCCACACCCCAGACGACCUGUCGGUGAUGUACCUGGGGCCCAGCCUCUCAGAGGCUCAUCACACAGAUAAAGCCCCUUUGGGACAGGGGGAGGAGAUGAGAGUCCUGAUCCCAGACCUUGUGCGGGAUCACACAACUGUCGACUCAGGACUCACAGGCUGAGGUGGUGGGGAGAAGGCACAGUGGGUAUCAUCCUGGGCCUGCAAGAAUUACUCCCCCCACCCCACUCCACCCAAGACGAGGGGUCUGGCCAUUAGAGAGGAAAGGGGACCAGCCUGCAGCCACGAUCGUGGAUAGCCUGGGGAAGCCACCCCACUGCCAGGGCGACGCCCGCCUUCGCAGGGGCCCUCCUGGGGUCAGCGUCCACGGCAGCGUCUAUCUCCCCUCUGGAGUCAGCUGUAGCCUCGAGGCCCCAGCUUUAAGCCAGGCUCCCCGCGAGGAGGAGCACACGUGAGCUCUCUCCCCAGGAGACCCCUGGGAGGCCACAGCGCGGGCUCAUCACCUGCCGCUAGGCCGGGCCAGCAGAACGAGUGUCGGGAACUCCCGGGGAGGCCGGCACGUCCCGCUCUCGUGGGGCACAAGGGCACAUGCAGGCUGGGGCCCACCCUGUGCUGUGAAGGCCCCCCACGACUGAGGAGGGGGCUCCGGGUGGAGGGGCUGCUGAGCCAUCUGGCCGUGUCUGCCUCACGCACGCCACAGCCACUCGGUGGUCCUGCAACCCAACCUAGGGGUCUACGGGGAGGGGCUGGCUCCCGAGCCGUGUGUUCCCAACAGCUCCCCCAUCUUCUCUCCCACCUGCCCCUUUGAAUACCACCUGCAAUGCCACCGCCCCCCCGCCCCCAGUCUUCUAGACUCGGGCCUCGAUGCGGUGGCUGUCAGUCCCCACACUUGGCCCUGCCACAAGGCACUGCCACCGAUGCUCUCGGCGCCCUGGGGGUCCAGGUAGACCAGGGGAUGGGGGGAUCCCAAGAUGUUGGCCAAAGCCUCCCCCUCCUGCCCAUCACUCCCCCUGCUGUGACUCAAGAGACUUGGCGGUUAAGUCCCAGACCAGGCUCUCCGGUGGCUUGUCCUCAUGGGGGAGAGGCAGGGACUCCCGAGAGUGGGCAGUACCAGGCCCUUGGUGGAGGUGUGGCUGUGGUGGGUCCGGAAGCCCCACCUCCAGUGCCGCUGCUGGUCUCCACGCUAAGCAGGAAAUCCUGGGGCCACCCUGCUUGCAGCAAGGAUACCCCGGCUGGGGCGACAUAGGAGCUCCAGGACUCACCUUUUGGGAAACCCGAGGUCGGCUCCCACCUCGGCACCAUGGGGCGUGCCAGGAGGAGGCUGGGGGUGGGUCACGGGGAGGCGGCCGGCCCACACUGACC